GACGAACCGUGCGAACGUUGUUCGGAAUCACUGGGCUUAAAGGGCGCGUAGGCGGCUCGACCAGUCUUGGGUGAAAUCUUUCGGCUCAACCGGAAAAGGGCCCGGGAUACUGUCGAGCUCGAGGGGGAUAGGGGCGGACGGAACUUCCGGUGGAGCGGUGAAAUGCGUUGAUAUCGGAAGGAACGCCGGUGGCGAAAGCGGUCCGCUGGGUCCUUACUGACGCUGAGGCGCGAAAGCCAGGGGAGCGAACGGG
rnacentral:rRNA from 1 species